rnacentral:rRNA from 1 species
GAUGAACGCUGGCGGCGUGCUUAACACAUGCCAGUCGAACGAAGCACUUUAUUUGAUUUCCUUCGGGACUGAUUAUUUUGUGACUGAGUGGCGGACGGGUGAGUAACGCGUGGGUAACCUGCCUUGUACAGGGGGAUAACAGUUGGAAACGGCUGCUAAUACCGCAUAAGCGCACAGCAUCGCAUGAUGCAGUGUGAAAAACUCCGGUGGUAUAAGAUGGACCCGCGUUGGAUUAGCUAGUUGGUGAGGUAACGGCCCACCAAGGCGACGAUCCAUAGCCGAGCUGAGAGGGUGACCGGCCACAUUGGGACUGAGACACGGCCCAAACUCCUACGGGAGGCAGCAGUGGGGAAUAUUGCACAAUGGGCGAAAGCCUGAUGCAGCGACGCCGCGUGAGCGAAGAAGUAUUUCGGUAUGUAAAGCUCUAUCAGCAGGGAAGAUAAUGACGGUACCUGACUAAGAAGCACCGGCUAAAUACGUG